AUCCUUCGCAGUGGCGAUAUCUAGCCUAUGAGGUCUAGCCGAGGCGUGAUUAUUGCUGGUUGAAAACUUAACCAAUACCGCGGGACGGACUUGCAAUACAGUCGGCCCUGGCAAUUUUGAUAGUCUGUCAGAGA
rnacentral:snRNA from 1 species